UCAUGUCGGCAGAGCAACAAAGGCAAACUUUGGCAACAACUUGAUUGUCUAACUGAAAUGAGCUGAGCUUUGGAAAAGUGGAAAAGAAAUAUGCCUUUUUUUCGCUGUAUUUCAGAAUGCUGAAAGAAUGAAAUGGACGCAUGUCAGCCCAAAGACAUAAAGCGAAAGAAACCACUUCAUGUCCAGAAGCAUGUCCUAGAAGACAACUGCUAAAGACAAGGGAGUAGUAAAGAAAAGAAAAAAAAAAAAAAGAAGAAGGAAAAAAAAGUCUUCAAAGCAAAUGAAAAGAAACAGACAGUUCUUCAAAACAAGAGAGGAAAUUGGAAAAAGAACAUUUGUGGAAGAAAAAAAGCAUGUGGAAUUUCUCUAAACAGAAGAUGGAAUGAUCUAUUUUACCUGAAGAGAGUGGAAGGAUCAAGGAAAGAUGAAUUGAAAACAGUAUUGACAAAGUUUAACUUAAGCUUAUAG
rnacentral:lncRNA from 1 species